CACAGAAAGAGGGCCUCGUCAGACGGAAGAACCAGGCUCCUGGGCUUCCGGAAACAUGAGCCAAAUGAACUUCCGUUCACUGUAAAUUACCCACCUCAGGAAACAGCCGAAAACAGACUGGAACACGAACACUGUUGCCAUAGAGACGACAUUACUCCAAGGGACAGAGCUGAUUGAAGCCUCCAGAAAGGCCCCUCCGGAAAGCUGUGCAUGGAGUCCCUUCAUUUCGUCAUCCACUUCCUCCUCUAUUUGCUCGCCUAUUCCUGUGUCUACUCGUGUUUGUAUUUGUUGGUUUAUUUUAUUACCAUCUUCAUAGAGGAGUAGGCAGGCAGCUGGACAAAAGCCUCUCUGGGUACAGAAAAGCCCUGCCCACCGCCCAUGGGUCUUCAGGACAUGCCUGGCGUCGACAAGGGCAGGACUGGCCUAGGCCAGGCUGCCUCCGCCCGUGCCUGGCCUCUUGGCCCUGUCCCUGGUCGCUUCCGGCUGGCAGGCCUGUGGAAAGACCUUCAUCAUCUGGAACGGCACCCCAACAGCCCUACGGUGACCUACAGUGACCUACAGUGACCCGUUGACUCAGCCAACGUGCGUGUAUUUCAAGUUGCCUCACCCUGCAGCUGCUCAGCGCCCAGACUUCUGAAGAAGCAGAAGGGAGCAGAUAGGUAGACUCCUGCUGCCACAGAGCUCUGGUUUCCACCAGUGGGGACUGUCGCCGAUGCCUCAGAUGUUAAUGUGUUUGUGGACAGUUGAGUACUCUGAGAGGGAGUAUGAGGGAUACAGGAGGAGAUGGAGCAGGGAGAGAGGGGGUGGAAAUUAUGCAUAUACAGUAUUCAUGUAUGAAAUUCUCCAAAAACUGUA